rnacentral:lncRNA from 1 species
GUGCCACACAUUUGAGGCCGGCCUGGGCUACAGAGUGGAGACCCUGUCUUAAAACAAGAACAGCAAUAAAAAGGGAGGCUCCCUGGGCAAAAAUGCAAGCAUGAGCACCUGAGGUCAAAUGCCAAGACCCCACAUUAAUGCCAGUGUGUAACACAAUGGUGGUAAUCUCGGCAGUCCUCCGGGGAGACAAGAGACUCUCUGCAAGUUCACUGCCAGCUAGACAGGAGUAUGUGGUGAAAAAACAAACCAAAACCCAUAAAAAGAAACAAAAUCAAAACAAAAGAGACCCUCAAACCAAGUGGAAUAAGGAUGAACCUCCAACCCCCAGGCUCCUGAGCUCCUUGCACAUCCUUUGGUCCAUGUGCACCUGCAUUCACACACAAAGAGCAUCCUUUUGUUGCAUCACCCAUAUUUUAGUGUAAAAAUCUCUCCAGGCAGGUAGCAUUGGUAUGCAGUCACAAGUGAGAACAGCAGCUUUGUCCAGUGUGGCUUGCCUCAGAUUUCCACACUCAUCAAAGGAGCUUAACAUCAGAACUUGUAGCUAGUGGCAGAUUGUGAGCAGUAUCUACCGCCCAGCUGGCAGCUACUACCAUCCAUACUGGCUCAGUCACCCCGAGGUCACCAACCUCUCUCUUUCAGCCAUAUGAACAAACAAGGUCCAAGGUGGGUGGCCCUGGGGCUUACUACUAAAAUGGGCUCACCUCCCUUCAGGUAGGCAUGGGGUACGUUGGCAUCCAGAAACAUGGCUUCCCCAGGCUUCAAGGUGAGCAGGUUCAGGAAGUAGAUGGCGAAACAUCCGAUAUCACCUGGGUGCUGUUGGUGCAGCUGCAGCAAGAGCUUCCCAUAAAUGUCCUCCAUAUUGUUUCCGUCAAAUACUGAGGGUCACAGAGCAUCCCAAGGCCACUAAGACACACAUGGUAUCCACAGCUUUACCCUGACAAGGGAGCCUUGGUGAACAGUCCCUACCUGACAAAUGCAGCUCUUAGACGGGGCCUCUCUUAAACAUCCCUCAUCCCUCAUCUUUGCACAAAAAUAUCAUCUCUCACCUCAACCAUGCACAGGUCUGGCCUGGCUACAACAGCUGGGCAUUGUGGUACACAGCUAUAAUCCUAGCACCAAGGCAGAAGGCUCACCGUGAGUGAGAGGUAGACAGAUUGGACUGCUGAGUAUGACCCUUUCUCAAAUGAUACAGGCUAGGGACGUACCUUAGUUGGUAGAGUGCUUGCCCAACAUGCAUGAAACCCUAGGUUUGAUCCUCUGCCCCACAAAAAAACAGGGAUGGUGGCACAUGCCUGUAAUCCCAGCACCCGGAAGAUGGAGGGAGGAGUGUCAGAACAGUAAGGCCAUUCGUGCCUAUAUAACAUGUUUGAGGCCAGCCUUGGAUACAAGAAACUUUCUCUCAAAGAGAGGUAUGGGGGAAAAUUAUAUGAAAAAAUAUUUAAAACACAUAUACCACUAGCAUCUGUUUAGAUUUUGACAAAAAACAUUGUCUCCAGACAAUUGCCCAAAAACAGUCUCCCAAUUAGGGACCACUUAUUGCUCUUAAGCUCAAAAUCUAUUACAGACAGGGAGGUAACCCGAAAGCUUCAUGGAGAGUGUCAAAUUCCCUACUAACCAAGGACUUCCCCUUUGUUAGCACUUCAGCUCCCUCCCAUGUCUCAGGAAGUCUGUCCAUCUUAGCAAACUGGGAUGGUUGCCUACCCCAGAAAGCACAGGGCACAACAUGCUAUGGGCCAAAAUGUGCCCUGGAAACUGACCAAGAGAAGAGGCGCUCAGCCUGGGCCAGAGGGAGGAGGGAGGCGUCUUGGGAGGGCAGGAGCAGGGUGAGCUGAGUUUCCUGGAACACGCAGAUAAGGGAGGAGUGUAUUCAGAAUGUGCAGGACCCACAAUAAAGAAAGCAGUGUUCGUUCC